AGUCAUUCUGAAACUUGUCGGUUUCUUACGUCACGUGCGUUACGUCGCGUUACGCAAAUUUAUGUUGCUUUCGUCGGUCUAGUUACGUCAUGUAGCCAGCUGUCAUGUUGGUUAAGCCAGGUAAAUACGUCGAUCGGAAUGUUGAUUUGGCACUUAGGUCAAAUCAUUCAUCCGACAAAAAAGCAAUGAUUUACCGGCCAUAAAAUCAGCUCUAGUCAAGGAUCGCUCAAAUUCACCAGAAACCGGAUGACCGGAAAGCUCGACUCCCUUUCAAAACGAUGUAGGAGAUGUAGCUGGAAAAAGCUGAACAAUAUGUGUAAUCGCCUCACAGCAGGGAGCAGUAAGUGGUACUUCCAAGCCCCGUCGUACAUUCGCAGGAUCAUGAAGCUAAAGAUGGACGAGGAUCGCAGAAGGAUCCCGCAAGUCCAGAGUGUCGACUUAGGAAGGAGAAGGAAAACGAGCAGAGGACCACUGCUUUCGCCAUGGAAACCAGCUCGUAAAUAUCCGGCGACUAUUCUGAAUCUUUCGGCUGGCCACCGCCGAUUUCCCAAUUAAGAAACCAGUGUGCAAUGCAAUCGAAGUGGAUUGUGAGAUUGUUGCACUAGUUAGUAGUAGCAUUAGCAUUAGCAUUAGCAUUAGCAUUAAGCGAGUCGCACAAAUUCGUAGGUGGUACAGUCCUAGACCGCUGUUAUGAGGGUUGCCUCCUUCCCGUCCGAACCAAAGCACAAAGAUUUGGGACUAAUCUCUGACUCUUAGACAAGACUGACGCAAUCCUCCAAUGGUCGAGCACUGUCCUGGCCACGUCCUUGCGACUGCUGAGGGAUGGGGAAGGAUGGUUAGUUUUGGACACCUAUGAAAAAUGUAGACAACUCUACGAUCUCUCAGGCCUAGGUGUCACGGGACUUUGGGUGUUGUUAGUGGAAGGGUAAACUCCAAAGAAUACGCUUGGUCAACGUUCAGGCACACCACGGUAAGUCUUCUUCGAAUCAGUUGUCUGCCCGAUUCAUCAUGGCUUCCUCGUCGUCUUGAUGGCAUUUGGUUGAAUUACUAGAUUCUUCGGUUGAUAAUCUGAAAUAUAAAAUAAUAUUAACAACGUACGUCAAAUAAGCUACAUAUUAGUGAUACGCUCGCCACAGUUACAUAUUUUUACAAUAUUAUUUAUAUCAUGCGAUAAAUUUUCCUCAAACCUGCUGAAAUAAAAUGUUGAUUAGCAGUA